GAGUCGAUGAUAGGGGCCAUUUUGAGAGCCUAUUGAAUUAAUUUAUGAUAAGGAGCCAUUUGGAGGGCCCAUUAAUUUAUGAAAUUAAUGUAUGACAAGGGGGGCCCAUGAAAUUAAUUUAUAGAAUUAAUCCGUGAUAAAGGGCCUAUUUGGCAAACCCAUGAAAUUAAUUUGUCGAAUUAAUUCAUGAUAGGGGGCCUUUGGAAAGCCCAGGAAAUUAAUUCAUAGAAUUAAUUCAUAAUAAAGGGCCCAUUUGGAAAGCCCAUGAAUUCCGUUUGGAUUGGAGGUAUUUGGAUGACAUAGGUUUGGUAGAUUUGGUUGGGUUUUAUUUAUGGACUUUGAACCUUGGAUCUUUGGGUUUUGGGUUUUGGAUCUUAUUUGUGGACUUUGGAUUUUUUGGAUUUUUAUUUGUGAACUUUGGAUUUUGGAUCUUUGUUUAUGGACUUUGGGUUUUGGAUAUUUAUUUGUGGACUUUGGAUUUUUGGGAUUUUGUUUGUGGAUUUUGGGUUUUGGAUCUUUGUUUGUGGAUUUUGGAUUUUAGAAUUUUGUUUGUGAGCUUUGGAUUUUUGGGUUGAGAAAUUUAUUCAUAUGGAUUUUUAUUAGUUUUGGUUCUAAAUCUGCAUAUGGGUUGAGAUUGGUUU
rnacentral:lncRNA from 1 species